rnacentral:rRNA from 1 species
GAUGAACGCUGGCGGCGUGCCUAAUACAUGCAAGUCGAGCGAACGGACGAGAAGCUUGCUUCUCUGAUGUUAGCGGCGGACGGGUGAGUAACACGUGGAUAACCUACCUAUAAGACUGGGAUAACUUCGGGAAACCGGAGCUAAUACCGGAUAAUAUUUUGAACCGCAUGGUUCAAAAGUGAAAGACGGUCUUGCUGUCACUUAUAGAUGGAUCCGCGCUGCAUUAGCUAGUUGGUAAGGUAACGGCUUACCAAGGCUACGAUGCAUAGCCGACCUGAGAGGGUGGUCGGCCACACUGGAACUGAGACACGGACCAGACUCCUACGGGAGGCAGCAGUAGGGAAUCUUCCGCAAUGGGCGAAAGCCUGACGGAGCAACGCCGCGUGAGUGAUGAAGGUCUUCGGAUCGUAAAACUCUGUUAUUAGGGAAGAACAUAUGUGUAAGUAACUGUGCACAUCUUGACGGUACCUAAUCAGAAAGCCACGGCUAACUACGUG